AUUGAACGCUGGCGGCAGGCCUAACACAUGCAAGUCGAACGAGUGGCGGACGGGUGAGUACUGUCUGGGAAACUGCCCGAUGGAGGGGGAUAACUACUGGAAACGGUAGCUAAUCCCGCAUACCAUCGGGUGUGCCCAGCUGGGAUUAGCUAGUAGGGUGGGUAACGGCUUACCUAGGCGACGAUCCCUAGCUGGUCUGAGAGGAUGACCAGCCACACUGGAACUGAGACACGGUCCAGACUCCUACGGGAGGCAGCAGUGGGGAAUAUUGCACAAUGGGCGCAAGCCUGAUGCAGCCAUGCCGCGUGUAUGAAGAAGGCCUUCGGGUUGUAAAGUACUUUCAGCGAGGAGGCGUUACUCGCAGAAGAAGCACCGGCUAACUCCGUGCCAGCAGCCGCGGUAAUAC
rnacentral:rRNA from 1 species